CUUCGGAAUGGAAGGAUAAGAACUUAGUGGCGGACGGGUGAGUAACGCGUGGGUAACCUGCCCUUUUGUGGGGAACAACUUCGAGAAAUCGGAGCUAAUACCGCAUAAUAAUAGAGGAUCGCAUGAUUCUUUAAGGAAAGAUGGCCUCUGAAGAUGCUAUCGCAAAAGGAUGGACCCGCGUCUGAUUAGCUAGUUGGAAGGGUAACGGCCUACCAAGGCAACGAUCAGUAGCCGGCCUGAGAGGGUGAACGGCCACAUUGGGACUGAGACACGGCCCAAACUCCUACGGGAGGCAGCAGUGGGGAAUCUUCCGCAAUGGGCGAAAGCCUGACGGAGCAAUGCCGCGUGAGUGAAGAAGGCCUUCGGGUUGUAAAACUCUGUCCUUAUCGAAGAGAGGUAGGUAUGUGAAUAAUGUACCUAUAGGACGGUAGAUAAGGAGGAAGCCCCGGCUAACUACGUGCCAGCAGCCGCGGUAAUACGUAGGGGGCGAGCGUUGUCCGGAAUCACUGGGCGUAAAGGGCGCGUAGGCGGUUUAAUAAGUCAGUGGUGAAAACUGAGGGCUCAACCCUCAGCCUGCCACUGAUACUGUUAGACUUGAGUAUGGAAGAGGAGAAUGGAAUUCCUAGUGUAGCGGUGAAAUGCGUAGAUAUUAGGAGGAACACCAGUGGCGAAGGCGAUUCUCUGGGCCAAGACUGACGCUGAGGCGCGAAAGCGUGGGGAGCAAACAGGAUUAGAUACCCUGGUAGUCCACGCCGUAAACGAUGGAUACUAGGUGUUAGUAGUUUCGAUGCUACUAGUGCCGGAGUAAACACAAUAAGUAUCCCGCCUGGGGAGUACGGUCGCAAGAACUGAAACUCAAGGAAUUGACGGGGGCCCGCA
rnacentral:rRNA from 1 species